rnacentral:tRNA from 1 species
UGAAUUGUAGCGGAACGGUUAAACGCAUCUCCGUAUUAAGGAGACUGUCGCGGUUUCGAGUUCCGUCUGGUUGG